AUAUGGUUGAAAUAAGGUCAGUUGUGGUUUCAACGUUGAAACAACGUUGAUUCAACGUUUAAAGCUGAAUGGUUGAAAAACAUCCAGCACAUGACCAACUUUCAAUGUUGAAAUAUGGUUGAAAUAAGGUCAGUUGUGGUUUCAACGUUGAAACAACGUUGAUUCAACGUUUAAAGCUGAAUGGUUGAAAAACAUCCAGCACAUGACCAACUUUCAAUGUUGAAAUAUGGUUGAAAUAAGGUCAGUUGUGGUUUCAACGUUGAAACAACGUUGAUUCAACGUUUAAAGAUGAACUGUUGAAAAACUUCCAGCACAUGACCAACUUUCAACAUUGAAAUAUGGCUGAAAUAAGGUCAGUUGUUUUAAUGAAACAACGUUAAAAAUGUUUAAUGCUAAAUGGUAGUUAAAGGUUAACAAGCUUUUAAAUUAUUUAUAUUAAAUUAUUUAAAUUAAUUAAUUAUUUUAAUAGCAUUUUAAAAUAUUUUAGUCAUGAUACCUAUUCUAAAAUCUAAAGGUAUAUGUUAAAUAUUAUCAUCAUUAACAACAAUAAAACUAUAUACAUUUCGCUGCUUUAUCACACUGAAACAACUCCCAUUGGUAGUUGUAUUUUAUUACUUCUAUCAUGAUUGGUUAAUCUGGCUGUCAUUCAGGAAACUGGACAAUGAAUCGGUUCGCGCCUUUCUACAUUUAAAAAUAUGACCGUUAUUGUCGUCUUUCUGUGAGUGAGGCGGCUAACUGUGAGCUGCUGCUCGUUAUAACUGACUGCUCUAUCGGUCCCGAAUUAUUUCAUAUUUGCCUGUACAUUUUUUAUUUAUUUUGAGCGAAUUUGAGUCGUGACAUGUCAAUGGAGAACAAAAACUGUGAACACAAGAAGGGUCAGGUGUUCUGCGAGGUCCUGAAAACAUCCUGGCAAAAUGAGAGUCAUCAAGGAUCCAGUUUAUUCUUGAAACAUUGAAGUUUGCCCUCUGCAAGUGAACGACGCCUUGUGGUGCCAUCCCAAAGAGGUUCAAAAUCACUCUCACGGUCCUUUUCCUGGACUGUGCCCAGCUGCUGGAAUCACCUCCCAAUCUCAAUCCGAACUGCUGAGUCUCUACUCAUUUUCAAGAAACAUUUUAAGACUCAUCUUUUUCACCGGAACUUAACCAACUAAU